rnacentral:lncRNA from 1 species
GAAGAUAAAUAAAUAAACAAAGUGAAGUGGGGAUUAACUCAUUUCCUUUUGCAUGCUUUAAUAAAUUUAUAAUAUGCCGGUGGGCAAGUUGAUUAUAACGUGAAGCACAUGAGACGCGAAAUUAACGGUCCCAAAUAAUAAAAACCCUACAAAAUUUAUUUUGGUCUCUAUCUAUCUAUUUCUAAUUUGAUCAGAAUAUAUAUAUAUAUAUAUAUAUAUAUAUUUUGGGUGGUUAUCUUGAACAAGUCGAGAUUGAAAUAUAGUAAUCAUAAAUAAUUCAUAUCGAAAUAAAACUUACUAUGGUAGCUAGCCAAUUAACGGCAUUCCAAUGGUUAAACUAGUUAUCAUGGAUUAGGAAUUGGCAUUUCUGUUUCUGGAAGUUGCUCCCGCUUCUUCAUCUUCUUCUUGUUUUUAAUCUCACCAUAGAAAUACGAAGCAAAUCCCCAAAGAGAAAGUGCAAGAGAGACCCCCUUUUCAGCUUGAAAUUUUUCUUUGUAGAAAAUGACGGCUAGAAUCUCGGUAACUGGUAGCAGAACUGCGAUUAUGAUUGCGGAAAGCAAAGACGAGCCACAGUAAAUGACUCCAAUAGCCCCUAAGAAGAAGCACUGCCAAAUUAAUGCACUCGCCACCACCACCGCAUAGUACUUGCCUUCGCCUAGCGUGUACGCUCUUGCUUCUUUUCCAAUUGCCUGCACCAAUUAACUUGUUCCAUUAACCGUUUCAUUUUUUGCUUUAACCUUUCAUCACUUUAUCUCGUUUUUCUUAAUUAAUGACAAGAUAUCCACUAAUAUUUUAAAACAAUAGGUUGUUACAGACAUAUAAUUUGGAGAAAACAUAUAUAGCAAGGUAAUGAUUUUUGUUUCUCCCUUUUUAUCUACUAAGUGUGCUGUACAUGUGUCGUGACAGAAUUGAAACCUAUGAAUUAUGAUGAGUUCGCCCACUACUAGGCCCAUUUCAUCACCACAUUGUCGUUUAUCCAGCAAAGCUGAUUCAUUAAUCAUUAACAAAAGAAGAUAAAUUUCAAGCUAGCGCAUGAUGCUAUUUUUUUUUUUUUUUCUCCAUACAUUUGACCGUAUAUAUUAGAGUAACUUAUUGUAUAUGAUUACAUGAGUUUUAAUUGACUGGUUUGAUCAGCUCAGUCGCGUUAUAAUGUUAUUAAUUUUCAUAUGUUGAUCUGUGCAUGCAUAAUAUUAUAAUAACAGAAGAAUCCGAUGAUAAUUGUACGAAAAAAAUGGACUGGCCGGCAAAAGAAGGAGAGAAAAUAAAGUGAUAAUUAAAGAGAAAUGAAACCUGGAAAUCUUUGUUGACGACCAUUCCCACGGUACAGACAAGAGUUGCAAAAAGACACAUGACCAUCUGAAUCUCCAAAACAAGAGCGUAGGUGAUUUCUUGCCUGGCCCUCUUGUAAGUCAACUCCAUCAACGGCAAAACAAACCCAUACAAGACCGCAGCUCCGAUCGUCAUCAGAAACCCUACUAGAUACUGUCUUGCGGACUCGUUAUCUGGCCGGUCACCGUUGGUGUGUAAACCCAAUACGACUGCCCCAAGCGUUAACAAGAAGACAGCGUUGAGUGAAUAAGAUGUAAGCUUUUGCUUGACCAACAAGAAGGCGAAAGCGGCGGUGAAAGCCAGCUGCGAGGCGAUGAUCAAGGAAGAAGUUGAGACGGGCAAACGAGCAACUCCGUAAGCGUAGAGAUAAUUGUCCAAUCCUGUGAGGAUUCCAAUGAUCGCUGAUGCGAAGAACACGGGAGGUCUCAUCAAGAUCAACUUAUUAUCAUCAUUAUUGGACGGCUGCGAUGAUGUCGAUGAUUCGUGAUCAGUAGUAGUGCCACUGCGGCGCCGCUGCAGGUAGGAUACUGUGAUGGGAAUGAGAAUGACAGGGCAGCCGGCGGUUUCGAGCCAGCUUGAGAACCAAAUCCUUUUGCCUCCAUGGAGGAAAUAUAAGCGCAUGAUCAAAGGGCCAGCGCAGUUGCCUAUAGCCAAGAGGAUGAUGUUCAGGAUUAGCAGAGCUAUUUUCAUGGUGGUUUUUUUCGAUUUAGUAGUUUCCAUCAUCUCCGCCAUGUUUAAUUACUCGGUAAACACAUGAAAAUUUGAAACUGAGCCGGAUGUUAUGUGUGGGGGGCAGUGAAGUUGAAUUUAUAGCUUAAUUUCCGCAAGAGUUUUCUUGUUUUUUUAUAAAAACAAAUGUCA